CACGCUGGCGGCAGGCCUAAAACAUGCAAGUCGAACGCUCUAGCAAUAGGGAGUGGCGCACGGGUGAGUAACAUGUGGGAAUAUGCCUUUUGGUACGGAACAACUUUUGGAAACGAAAGCUAAUACCGUAUGGUCCCUCCGGGGUAAAGAUUUAUCGCCAAAAGAGUAGCCCGCACUGGAUUAGCUAGUUGGUAAGGUAAUGGCUUACCAAGGCGACGAUCCAUAGCUGGUCUGAGAGGACGAUCAGCCACACUGGGACUGAGACACGGCCCAGACUCCUACGGGAGGCAGCAGUUAGGAAUAUUGGACGAUGGGCGCAAGCCUGAUCCAGCCAUGCCGCGUGAGUGAUGAAGGCCUUAGGGUUGUAAAGCUCUUUACCCGAGAUGAUAAUGACAGUAUCGGGAGAAUAAGCUCCGGCUAACUCCGUG
rnacentral:rRNA from 1 species